rnacentral:rRNA from 1 species
UGCAAGUCGAACGGCAGCACGGGAGCAAUCCUGGUGGCGAGUGGCGAACGGGUGAGUAAUACAUCGGAACGUGCCCAAUCGUGGGGGAUAACGCAGCGAAAGCUGUGCUAAUACCGCAUACGAUCUACGGAUGAAAGCAGGGGAUCGCAAGACCUUGCGCGAAUGGAGCGGCCGAUGGCAGAUUAGGUAGUUGGUGAGGUAAAGGCUCACCAAGCCUUCGAUCUGUAGCUGGUCUGAGAGGACGACCAGCCACACUGGGACUGAGACAUGGCCCAGACUCCUACGGGAGGCAGCAGUGGGGAAUUUUGGACAAUGGGCGAAAGCCUGAUCCAGCCAUGCCGCGUGCAGGAUGAAGGCCUUCGGGUUGUAAACUGCUUUUGUACGGAACGAAAAGGUUCUUUCUAAUAAAGAGAGCUCAUGACGGUACCGUAAGAAUAAGCACCGGCUAACUACGUGCCAGCAGCCGCGGUAAUACGUAGGGUGCAAGCGUUAAUCGGAAUUACUGGGCGUAAAGCGUGCGCAGGCGGUUAUAUAAGACAGUUGUGAAAUCCCCGGGCUCAACCUGGGAACUGCAUCUGUGACUGUAUAGCUAGAGUACGGUAGAGGGGGAUGGAAUUCCGCGUGUAGCAGUGAAAUGCGUAGAUAUGCGGAGGAACACCGAUGGCGAAGGCAAUCCCCUGGACCUGUACUGACGCUCAUGCACGAAAGCGUGGGGAGCAAACAGGAUUAGAUACCCUGGUAGUCCACGCCCUAAACGAUGUCAACUGGUUGUUGGGUCUUCACUGACUCAGUAACGAAGCUAACGCGUG